ensembl:lncRNA
GUAGGAUCCGGUGACGCCUCUUCCCGUCUCCCCAGCCGCUCGGGCUCCGGCUCUCGGUGCGGCAGCGCCAUCUGGUGCCGAGUGUCCCGCCGCCCGUAGAGGGGGCGCGCGCCUUUCUCUCGGAACCUUCCAGAGAACCCGCGGCCUAGGCUUUCUUUUCUCCCGCCCUCGGGAAGGGAGGGACCCGAGUCUCCGCCCUGCCGAGUUCCCGCGCAAGAGGUCCUUGGCCGGCCUUUGAAGCGGAAGCUGCUCGGAGGAGGAGCUGUAUAUGCGCAAGAUGGAGGGCAAACAGUUCUUUUUCUAGUUUUAAGCCCAGGAAAAGCGGUUCUCUCUUGUUUGGCUUUCUCAAGGCUCGUCCUGGGCUGCUCCCCGUCAUCCUCGCGUCAAUUCCUUACCCUGUCGGGAGUGGGGGCCCCCGUUUCUCGCGUGGUGGGAAGAUGGCACAGGCUUUGUGGCUUAGGUUGGCCUCUGCGGUAACCGCCUUGUUUCUUUCCCUGAUUAAAGCAGUGUUGUAAAAGGGUGCAGUGUGUAUUGGGAGCCCAUCGAGAAGGGGAGAAUUUAGAGCAUAAUUUGCUUUCAGACAGCCCAAAACAUUUUGGAAAAGUAGCCCCAGAAACACUCGGGCUGAAUAUAGAUUUGUUUGCAUGGCCUUUUUCUUUUGGAUAACCAGAGAGGGAAAGUCAUUUCCCCAAAGUCAACAAAAUCAACACACAUUCUCUCUUGAUAAUGAAUUCUUGCUUGGAAACGUAGAUUUUCUUGGAAGCUUGUAGGCCUGACAAUCUUAGAUAGCCAGCGUAGGACUGUUUCGAUGUUCUGUUGGAAUGGUGCUUUAACUGAGUAUCAAAGUGUGUAGUGAAAGCUGGUGGAGUGAGCUUCCCUUGGAAUUCAGAUGUUCGCACCUACUAACUUUAGUGCUCCCCUGCGCGGUUCGCCUGUAGCAGUGGUUCUCAGACUUGAGCGUGCGUCAGUAGUCCUUGGAAGGCUUAUGAAAACAGAAGAGAUGCUUACGAGACUAAAACUGGAGAAAUUAGUAGGACUUUGGCCCCACUGCUGGAAAGCGAUAAGCUAAGCCCUAGAACCAGGAAAGUUCUACCUAAAUGAGUGUUCACACGUUAAAGCAACUACGACAUAUCAAUGUGUUCUGCAUAUAAUCGUGGUAGAGGCUGCUGUGAUACCAGUUUCUGCAGGCGUUUUCUCAAUUCUGUCAAAUCCUGACUAUGCCGCUGCAUUCAUUGACCUCAACACAGUGAAUAAAGCGCACAGCACACCAUGGGCAAAGUGAUGUCCAGAGAGGCUGAGCUGGGUGGAUGUGACUGAGAAGAAAAGACUUGGGGCUGCAAAUUCCCGAGAGAGAAUAUUUCAAGGCUCUGGUUAAAUUGUCAUGAAGUUCUGGUGCUAUUCUCUAACUUUCUUGAAGUUGCUGAUCAUCCUAAACAAAUUCUUCUUCAGUCCUACCUACCCUGAGCCAAGUAUUUCUAGAGCAUGGUGAUCUAAUGGAAAGAGCCAAACUUGGGAGUCAGGAACUACUGACUGAGCCUCGUCCUGCUGUGGACUAGCUAAGUGAACUGGGAUAAUCUCUGAUCCUCUCCAGACCUUAAUGUCUUCACU